UGUAAAAUAAGCUAAGAAUAAGCUGUUGGGUUCAUACCCCAAAAAUGAACGCAUUGUUCUUUUACAA
rnacentral:tRNA from 1 species